rnacentral:rRNA from 1 species
GUGAGUCGUUGUAGCAAUACAAGGCAUACGGCUCAGUAACACGUAGUCAAUCUAACCUAUGGACGGGGAUAACCUCGGGAAACUGAGGAUAAACCCCGAUAGAUCAUUAUGCCUGGAACGGUUUAUGGUCUAAAUGAUUCGUCGCCGUAGGGUGGGACUGCGGCCUAUCAGUUUGUUGGUGAGGUAAUGGCCCACUAAGACUAUUACAGGUACGGGCUCUGAGAGGAGUAGCCCGGAGAUGGGUACUGAGACACGGACCCAGGCCCUAUGGGGCGCAGCAGGCGAGAAAACUUUGCAAUGUGCGAAAGCACGACAAGGUUAAUCCGAGUGGUUUCUGCUAAAGGAACCUUUUGUCGGUCCUAGAAACACCGACGAAUAAGGGGUGGGCAAGUUCUGGUGUCAGCCGCCGCGGUAAAACCAGCACCUCAAGUGGUCAGGAUGAUUAUUGGGCCUAAAGCAUCCGUAGCCGGCUCUGUAAGUUUUCGGUUAAAUCUGUAUGCUCAACAUACAGGCUGCCGGGAAUACUGCAGAGCUAGGGAGUGGGAGAGGUAGACGGUACUCGGUAGGAAGGGGUAAAAUCCUUUGAUCUAUUGAUGACCACCUGUGGCGAAGGCGGUCUACCAGAACACGUCCGACGGUGAGGGAUGAAAGCUGGGGGAGCAAACCGGAUUAGAUACCCGGGUAGUCCCAGCUGUAAACUAUGCAAACUCAGUGAUGCAUUGGCUUGUGGCCAAUGCAGUGCUGCAGGGAAGCCGUUAAGUUUGCCGCCUGGGAAGUACGUACGCAAGUAUGAAACUUAAAGGAAUUGGCGGGGGAGCACCACAAGGGGUGAAGCCUGCGGUUCAAUUGGAGUCAACGCCGGG